ensembl:lncRNA
GUUCACACAGGCAGUGGGAGAAAACGCAUGGAGCAGAAAACAAGCUGCACAACUUUAAGCCCAGUUUACAUCGUUGGGGAGUUUGUUGAACCAUAAUCUGGUAACAAAGCUGAGAUCAUCUCAGACAUGACAAUGAGUUUACUGCACUCUGACGGCCUCCACAGUAACACAUCUCAGUUCAACAGAGCGUCCUUGAGCGUCCUCCGACCUGGCCCUGGGUCCUCUCUGGCAUCCUGGCUAUCUUGGCUGUCCUGGCUCUCAGCAGUGGGAUCGUCAUGUGUUAUAGAUAUACAAGGAUGAAAUGCCCAGCAGACAGCCAGGUAUUGAUGGUGGAGAUUUCAGAGGGAGAGAAAACGUCUGUCCUGCUGCCCUUUAAAACCACAGAGGAUCUUCCCCAGGACGCCACAGUGGAGUGGAGACUCACUGAACCCAAACACAUGAAGGUCCACGUGUAUGACAGUGGAAAAAAUCAGCCGGACAAACAGGACGAGGUGUACCAAGGCCGCACAGAGAUGAAGGAAGAGCCACUGAGAGAUAAAGACCUCAGUCUGAAACUAAAGGAGCCCCGCGUUACUGACACCGGAGUCUACACCUGCACCGUCAGCAGCAAGGAUGGAAACCUUCUUCAGAAAGUGGUGUCUCUCACUGUCAGAGAGAGCCAGAUGGAGACGGUGGAGGUGACAGAAUGGAACAAGUCUGUCCUGCUGCCAUUUAAAACCAAAGACGACCUUCCACAGGAUGCCACAGUGGAGUGGAGACGCUCAGACUCCAAACACAGGAAAGUUCACAAGUUUCAGAGCAGCCAGCACCUUUCAGGUGAACAGGACGAGAUUUACAGAGGUCGCACAGAGAUGAACAAAGAGGCACUGAGAAUCGGAGACCUCAGUCUGACCCUGAAAGAACUUGGCAUCACUGACAGUGGAGUCUACACCUGUACUGUCUCCACGCAUGGAAAAGUCCUGAAACAAAAAGUGGUGGUGCUCAGUGUCAGAGUCUACGAGCUUCAGACAGUGGAGGUGACACCAGGGGUGAAGCGUGUUCUGCUUCCCUUCAAAACCACAGCUGACCUGCUUGAGGACGUCAGAGUGGAGUGGAGUCGUUCAGACCUCGAAGAUGUGAAGGUCCUUGUAUAUGAGAACAGCCAAAAAAAGCAUGAAGAGCAACACCAGGACUAUCAAGACCGCCCUGAGAUGAAUGAAGAGCUACUGAGAACCGGAGACCUCAGUCUGACCCUUUAUUACCCUCGACUUACUGACAGUGGAGUCUACACCUGCACCGUCUACAAAAAAGAUGGAGCCAUCCUGAAACAGAAAGUAGUGAUACUCAGUAUCAGAGGCUACAAGGUGGAAAUAGUCGAAGUAACAAAAGGGAAAAAAUCUGUGCUGCUGCCCUUUAAAACCACUCUUGAUCUACCCGAUGAUGUCACAGUCGAGUGGAGGCGUGCUGAUUCCAAAGUCACAGUCCACACCUAUCAGCACGGCCAAAACCAGCUAGAAGAACAGGGACAGGAUUACAGAGGUCGCACAGAGAUGAAUGAAGAGCCUCUGAGGACUGGAGACCUCAGUCUGACCCUGAAAGACCCCCAAAACACCCACAGUGGUUUCUACAUGUGCACAGUCUCCCAGGGUGAAGACAUCCUGAGACAGAAAGGAGUGACGCUUACUGUCAGAGGAAAACAUGGUGCAAGCUUUACAGAGCAGUUUCAAGGCUUCAGAAAUAAGAGAAAACCCAUGACUGAUGGACCUUCUUCCUCUAUGAUUCAUGAAUCUGUUCCACUCACUACUAAAGAAACGACUUCAUGUUAAAUGGAGGAGAACAGCCGGCAGGACGAUCUUCCGGAUUACCACAGGCUUUAUAUUAGGGCCACUUAGUUUUCCCUGUAUACUCUUCUUUGGUUCCACUUUUCGAAAACAUAAUCUGGGAUGAACACCUGCUCAUUCUCUGCAGCUGGAUCCUUCACUUCCUGUCUGACAGACGCCAAGUGGUCAGACUGGGCAGCAUCACCUCAUCCCCCAUCACACUGAACACUGGUGCUCCACAGGGGUGUGUACUGAGCCCUCUCCUGUACUCACUCUGCACCUACGACUGCACGGCCACUAGCAACUCCAACAUCAUUGUGAAGUAUGUGGACAACACUACAGUGGUGGGUCUUAUCACCAAAGGUGAUGAGACGGCCUACAGGGAGGAGGUCAGCGCCCUGACCCACUGUUGCCGAGACAACCAUCUUACCCUCAACGUAGCAACGACAAAGGAGUUGAUAGUGGACUUCUGGAGGUGCAGAGAAGCACACACCCCAUCACCAUCAACGGCGCCGCUGUGGAGAGAGUGAGCAGCUUCUGUUUCCUGGGUGUACACCUGGCAGAGGAUCUCACAUGGUCAGUACACACAAACAAAACAGUGAAGAAGGUGCAGCAGUGCCUCUUCUUUCUCAGGAGACCGAAAAGAUUCGGCAUGAGCCCCCGCAUCCUCAGGAACUUCUACCGCUGUGCCACUGAGAGCAUCCUCACUGGAUGCAUCACCACCUGGUACGACAACAGCAACGCUUACAACCGCAAAGAUCUCCAGAGAGUGGUGCGGUGUGCUGAAAGAAUAAUUGGAGGUGAGCCUACCUCCCUCCGGGACAUUUAUAGGUCGACAUUCCUGUAAAUGUCGAUUUCGACACUAUGCACUCCAUACUGUACAUAAAUGCCAUUUGUUUUGCACAUUUCCAACUGCUGACCUCUGUAUAUUUUAUUUUUAUUUAAUUUUAUAUAUAUGUAUACACACACACACACGUAGAUAUAAAUAUUUAGAAUACAUAUUCAGUAAUGCACAUACACUCUUAUAUUUGUACAUAUAUUUAUUGUUAUAAUCCUCAGAUUUACCCAUUCUUAUAUUUUGCUUUGUUCUUAUGUUUUUGUAUUUUGCACACCUCUGUUGCUUGUGAAGAUUGCACACAAGAAUUUCACUCUCAUGUGCUAUACUAGUGUACCAGUAAUGUGAUGUGACAAUAAAAGUGAUUUGAUUUGAUUAGAAGUUCAAAGACGGUCUGUCUUUCAAGCUUUGAGAGUUCCUAGUGCAUAAAUUUGACACGUUUUCUUUUGAUUUUCUUCAUUGAUUGGCUGGGUUAGCUGCUACAACUACUCAGGUUCAUGCGCAUGUGGACGCUCGCCGAGGGUCCGGGCUGAUGCAAAAAUGUUUCUGUACCCCCUCUGCUGAGUUCUCCUGACAUAAUUUACUUUCUCUAGUAAAAUUAGGUCUUAGACUUCAUUAAUGAUAAAGUUAAAGCUCUGAUAGAUUGUUGCAGUAGCAAGCCAAGCUCAUUAAGCAGACCAACUUGUGCUAUUACCAACCUAGCCUGUUGUCUUAGUGACCAUGAAAGCAACCCUGGCUAAGAUACUGAUCCUGAGAUAUUGUUUUGGUCUCAAGUGAUCUCGAUGACCGACCCUUCAUGUCCCUUUUGGAGCUAAAAAGAGGUCAGGCUAGCUUUCCAGCUUGUUAAAACAAAUGAACAUGUGUAGACCUUCAGUGUGCUCACACACAUGUUCCAGUGUCAGGUGACUUCAUUGAUCAAGUCUGCACCUGGAGGAAAAGUGUCUCCUGUUUUUUACACUAUGACUUGUAAG